rnacentral:lncRNA from 1 species
GUGAACUCAAUCUUUAGUUACCACUUUAAAAAAGAGUAGCUCUGAAAUCACACAUUCAAAGAAUCUGAGGUAUUUUUCAUGGGCUAAAAAGUAACAAGAGUAUUUAUGAUCUGUCAACUUUGAGAUAGUAUUCAAGUCAGUUGGGCAGUUUAACUUAUUUUCCCUCCUUAAUUCUUCCAACUGUCUUCUUUCAUCUAUUUCUCCCUUCAUUCUGCCUCCCUAAGUGAACUUGCUCAGCUUUGCCAGGUUUUGCGACCCUGACAGGUGUCUGGGAGCGCUUCCCUCCCAGGCUGCUGGGUUGGAGGGCGGCCUCAGCAGGAACCCAGGAGGACAGCUGGUAUCCGAGACUCCCCGGCGGGGCCGGCCCUGCCACCAGCCUCAUCUGCAGAAGGCAGGCCUCUGGAGCUUGCUCUUGGGCAUCAGCUGUCUCCGACAACCUCUCCAGGAGCUUGCAGGAUGUCGUUUAUACGUGGGACGCCUACCACAGCAUGGCUGCCAAGCAGUGCCAUGUCCGUACCCGGGAUCCGAACCAGCGAACCCCGGGACACCGAGAAGCGGAACGUGCGAACUUAACCGCUGCGCCAUCGGGCCGGCCCCAGUUCUCAGCACUUUUGAAGAACGGUUCAGGUAGAUCCUCUGUAACACAGAAAACAUUUUUGCUUUGAGCCCCAGAAGUGUAUUUUGUGGAAUUUUCCUUUUAAAAACAGAACAAAGAGCAGUUGCAACUGCCAGUUCCUUGGCUCUACUUGUUUCCUUUUAGACCCUGAAUGGUAACCAG